rnacentral:rRNA from 1 species
GUCUACAGACAUACCACCCUGAACCUGCCUAAUCUCAUCUGAUCUUAGAAGCUCAGCAGAGUCAGACCUGAUUAGUACUUGGACAGGAGUGGGGCCAGCCAACUCCUCUUUGCAUAUGGAUGUGAGGAACUCUUGGAA